rnacentral:rRNA from 1 species
UUGGGAAUAUUGGUCAAUGGGCGAAAGCCUGAACCAGCAAUGCCGCGUGAGUGAUGAAGGCCUUCGGGUCGUAAAGCUCUUUUAGCAGGGACAAAGGGCAACUUGAUGGUACCUGCAGAAAAAGCACCGGCUAACUCUGUGCCAGCAGCCGCGGUAAUACAGAGGGUGCAAGCGUUGUUCGGAAUCAUUGGGCGUAAAGCGCGUGUAGGCGGUCAUUUAAGUCUGGUGUGAAAGCCCGGGGCUUAACUCCGGAAGUGCACUGGAUACUGAAUGACUAGAGGGCGAGAGGGGGAAGCGGAAUUCUUGGUGUAGGGGUGAAAUCCGUAGAUAUCAAGAGGAACAUCGGUGGCGAAGGCGGCUUCCUGGCUCGUUUCUGACGCUCAGACGCGAAAGCGUGGGGAGCAAACAGG